GAUGCUUAAAAAAAAUAAAAAACGCAUUUGAUGAGCUUGAACACGAAGUGUUAGACCAAAUUCCCUCGCAUUUACACAAUAGGCCCGCUACCCUUAUUGCUUGAAAGAGUUUCGCAUCUCUCAAGCCCUGGUCGGCUCGACGGCUACUGAAUUCGUUCAUUCAACAAUCAUUGAACUCCCUUUUGAGCUAACUGCAUCGGUUAUGCCGACAACGACAUAUUCUCUAGCAAAAGAAAUGACUUCUAAUGUCUGGAAUGGCUUGAUCAAAGGCAAAAGAAGUCGAUUGUGUUUGUUAGUUUCGACAGCAUAACUGUGAUGUCGGACCGACAGGUUAACGAAUUAGUGGGGUUUUUGUUGGUAGUGAGGCCUGAUUUGGUGGCUGCAGGAAAUCCAGCAAUGUUACCGAGAGAAUAUUGCGAAGAGAUUAGGGAUAGAGGUUUCCUAGUUAGUUGGUCUCCUCAAGAACAAGUGCUCUGUCACCCUUCAGCUGUUGCAUUUCUAACUCAUAGCCGAUGGAAUUGGAAUUCGACCAUUGAAAGUGUAUGCCGAGGGGUUCCUGUAAUCUGUUAAGGCCUUUCUUCGAUGAGCAGUCGAGGGACUGGCAUGGAGAUUAAUCAGAAUGUAAAGCGUGAUGAAGUUAAAGUUCUUGUUAGAGGAAUGAUGGAAGGGGACAAGGGGAAGCCGAUCAAGUGUAUGGCUUUGGAAUGGAAGAAGAAAGCUGAAGCUGCUACUUACAUUGGGGAUCAUCUUACAAGAAUUUAAAUAGAUUCAUAAACGAUGUUUCAUAUGGCCCCUCAAAAUAGUGCACAUAUUGUAUAUUCCAAACAAACAGAUGAAACAAAUUUAAUAUUUUGUUUUGGAGUGUUUAGAACCAGUAGUAUAGUUUUUGAGUGUUUAGAACCAGUGGUAUAACAAGAAGGUGUGUUUCUUGUAAUUGUGAUGUAUAUAUAAUUGCUCAAGGCUUGUGUGUUUAGGUUGGCGCACUUAUCCAUUAUUAGUGCUGCUUUUCUUUCAUGUUUUCUUUGUAUCAAUUAUUAAGUUUCAUUAAUAUUGAAUAAAAAAUACUAUAAAGUUAAUGAAGUAGAAGUUUAGUAGGUGAGUGCCAAUUAGUUGAGUUGUAAAAUUUCUUAUGUUGAAAAUAUUAUGUUUAAUAUUUGAACACCACUCAUAUAUUUGGGAAAGGAAAACAAAAGUAUAUAAUUUGGAGGGCGGCAAAUUGACACGAGCUAUUGCUACAAUUAACGUACAAGUAAAAGAACACAAGAAAAUACAUAGAUAAGAGCAUAAAAGCUUAUGCUUCAAAAAUAUCGUUUUAAGAUCCAUUACUGAAUACUGAUCCAUAAAACUACUUACAAAAAUAAUACAUAGUCGUUUCACGCAUUGAAACCGUCAGAAGAAAAAAAAUCUGAAAAUUGGAAUCAUAAAUAGUAUGUAAUAUUCUCUUGCUAGCUAGGAUCGGCAUAUCCCUUCUAUAGAAACUCAGUAGCGAUUUAAACUCAAACCUUGAAUAUCAUCUGGUUAGCUGCAUAAUUUAACUUGAAAAAAAAAAAACUCAUCUAGUGUUGAUCACCCCACCACAACGUCUUAUCAACCCUUUAAUGAAUCUCAGUAUUUGGCAAGUUGCAUUAAAAGGUUUAAUAUUGCCUUGUGGGGGAAUGGUUACCAAAACACUUCAGUACAUGCAAUAGGAGAAUUGAUUGGAUCCAUUUAGAGCGCUACGAUACUGUAUAUGAGCUAUCUAGCUAUGCUAAACCUAUUUAUUUUACAUAAGGUUUUGUCUGAAAAACUAGACCUGUCAGAAGAGUGGCAAUUUCAAUUUCGGACUCCGCACUGUUACUCUCGGAUAUGGAGUUUUGGGACAUAUUUAAAAUGGGUCCUAUUAUGUAACAUUACGGUCUUAUUUGAUAUUAAGGUGAUGUGAUUUAAAAACUAUUGUUGUUGUUGAAGAAAAAAUUGUGAUUAUAAAAUAAAAAUUAUUAGUAUAUUAUAAGUGUGAUUUUAAAAUAAAAUUUUUGAUAAGAAUAGCAAAGUAAAUUAUUACAAUUUUUUUUAAUCAUAGAAGUGUUUGAUAAAAUUAAUACAAUUUUUAAAUUAUAAUAGUAAAUAUUUUAGUGUUGUAACUUAAAAUUACUGCUGUCCAACUACGUUAUCAAAUAGGGCUUUUAUUUAAUAUAUUCCCAUAACACCAAAGACUAGCGCCGAAAGGGGCAUGGCCACUUCCUGCACGGAAGGAAGCUGCCUGCGAGGGAAGUGCGGAGGGGCACGAACAGGCGCUGAAACCUUUAAUCUUAAGAUGAUUACUACCUGACGAAGAAGUGGUUUACAAGUUCUUGUUACUGUGCUCCUUUUUUUUUUUUUUGAUUCGUAUAAUAAUGAGAAAUUGACGAAACUUUUUUUUCCCCCGGUUAGUGGAACUAGUGAUGAAAAAUCAGAAAUCCAAGUUAUUAAACAAUCACAUAGCACAUGAAAGCACAACUAACUCACGGGAACCAUAAAGUUGAGAACACGAUAUUUGAAAUGGGAAACCAACAUUACCAUGUAUAUAUGUUCUAGUGAUGAUAAUGUAGAACCUCCUUGAUGCAUUUAUUGAAGUUAUUGAAAGAUGCUCCUCCAACAUCUGUGGCUGCUUCAGCUUUCUUUCUCCAAUCCUGAACAUUUUGCCUGAUUAGCUUCCCUUUGUCCCCUUCCAUAAUUUCUUUGACAAGAGCCGCAAUGUCCUCCCGGCUUGCAUCUCGAUUCACUUCCAUGCCAAUGCCCCAAGUUGUGGACGCAUAUCUACAAUUUGUUUGUUGCUCAGCAAAAAAAGGCCAACAAAUUAUAGGAACACCUCCGCAUACACUCUCUAAAAUAGAAUUCCAACCGCCGUGGGUUAGAAAAACACUAACUGAUGGGUGGGAGAGCACUUUGUCCUGCGGACACCAAUUUGCUAUCAUUCCUCUGUCCUUUAUCUCUUCGUAAAAUUCUUGGGAUAAGAUCGCAGAAUCACCUGUUACCAUAUCUGGCCUAACUAUCCAUAAAAAUGGGUGCCCGCUAUUUGCAAGACCCCAUGCAAAUUCUUUCAUUUGUUCGUCCGUCAUCACAGUUAUACUACCGUAAUUCACAUAAGCAACGGAAUUGGGUUCCUUUUCGUUGAGCCAUUUGAGACAUUCCGAAUCUUCCUUCCACAAAUUUGAUCUGAAUGACUUGAAUUCACUUUCGGGCAAGUGCCGACAAAGCAAGUGAAGUGGACCUACUGUGUAAAUGUUAGGGGACUUGGAAGCAAUAGCCUCUAACACUUUACCUUCAUGCUCAUCAAACGUGUUAAAUAUGAUUGCGGACGAUUCCAGGCAGUUUUGCACUUCUGUUUUCAUGUAAUUGAACAAGAUAUCGUUAGCAUCAGUGACUCUCAUAAGGCUUGGAAAGUCCUUUAAUCGCAUGUUGCUCAUGCCGGGUACCCAAUCAACAGCUGCAUCGAGAGUCCCAUCCGUAAGGAAUUUUUCAUCUGUAACACGACGCAGUUCAGAUUACAAUAAUGUUCCUUAAUUAUUAUUUUUCUGAAUCCCAAAUUUAUCCUUAAAUAGAUUGUCUGAGCUGUAACUAAAAAUAUGAAGGCCCAUAAAGUUUUAAUCAUUGGCUACUUGGGUUCAGAAAUUAGCAUAACUACGGCCGAAUCCUUGACUGUAUACAUAAUUAAUGCGGAUUCGAAAGCCCAUCAUUUUUUUAUAUCACUUGCCAACUCAACAUUUUGGUUAGAUUAAAUACACGGGUAGGUCGAGUAAAUCAGUAAAUAUUACACAAAUCGGAUAACUCACACGUGUCUAUCUAUUUUCUUAUUUUAGGUGUUUUCCAAGAAAGUUGUCCGAUAUGCAUAAUUGCAUUAUGGUCUUAGUCUGCACUCUUUUUUUUUUUCUUUCUCGAAACUCGAUCUACGAGCGGUCAUUGCUCAUGAUCGGCAGUUGCCACUUAAACCCUAAAAGAAAAUUAAAUUAUGUUAUAAAUAUAAUGGGGUGAGUGGAGAUUUAUGAUAAUUUAGAAGGUAUUUUGAAUAUUAUCAUUUUAUAAAAAAAUAAUUUGAAAUUAAUUCUAAAUAAAACUAUUCUUAGAAAGUUGAAAUAUAAAUAUUGAAUUUCAACUAUGUAGCAGAUGAUUAGUAUCAUGUGUCAAUUAAUUACUUACAUGAUCAUUAUAUGUACGUGACGAUGAUGAUGAUGAUGGAUAUAAGUGUCGUAUGUAAAUUAUAUUAGUUCAAAUACAAGCUUUAAUUUUUAUCUUUAACUUUAUAACCAAAAAGUUUGGAAGUAAUACAAAUUACAGUAAUAUAGGAAUAGACAGCGAAUUGUAGGAUAAAUCAUACGUACCUUCAAAUGGAACAAUUCCUCUAUUGACAAGUUCAGGAAAUUGAGAAGCUGCCAAAAAGCCACAAGCCGAGGCCGUCCAUAACUGGACAUCUGGUAUGCCAAGUAUCCGAGCAGCCUUGGCACCAAAUCCCAUGAUUCCAUCAGAAACUACGCAAGUGACUUGUGGCACAUUGCCUGCUGAAUUCAACUUACCAAGCAAUUCCAAGAAUGGAGCCAAACAAGUUUUUCUUAUCGAACUGCAUAAAGCAGGAAGAUCCUGCGUUGCAUCACGAUCAGACGGUGGCAAUCCGUCUGGAAUGGUUUCGAAUCGAAAAUCGGGUAGACCCUUUAGAGAAUCGGGUCCUUUGUUCCGAAUAAAUCGAUUGUGAUUGAACUCAGUAUUAACAAAGGUGACAUGAAAGCCUUUUGAGUGUAAAAGUUUGGCCAGCUGCAUCAUUGGAGUAAUAUGGCCUUGUGAUGGGUAAGGAAGGACAAUCACAUGCUGUUUUGUUACUCCAAUUGAACCCAUAUUCACCAAGCAAUUGUAAACUGGAUUCAGAUUCAUUACCUGCGCGAUGACUUGAGUAGUUGGGUAGGUUGGCCUUUAUAGCCGCAAGUUAUCUUUCAUGAAUUAAUUAAAACAGACUAUUUUUUUCAAUAAUUUGAAAAUAUAAGCGUUGGAGAUACGUGCCUAAACAACAAAAAAGAAAAAAAAAUGCAUAUAAUAGUGACUAGCAAAUAUUAUUCCAUUAAUGCUUUUCAACAAAUACACAAAAGAGAAGUGAAACUUGGUCCAUUUCUAACUAAAUACACCUACAAUAAACAACUAGUAAAUAAACUGAUAGAAAAUUCUUUCAUCUUUCAAACUUUUCAAAGAAAAAUUUCCCUAAAAUAUGGUGUUCGUGUAAUAGUAAACUCAUGUCAUAGGUUUGACAACUACCAGCGAUAACUACAUAUUAAGUAAACAAUAUGCAAAGGAUAAAAUGGUAAAAAAAUUAAAACAUUAAAACUUUAAUGAAAUCUUUCUACCAUCAAAGUAUGACGAGACAUUUCCUAAAUAUAUGAGAGGGACUGAGGGAGGCCUUUCUUAAUUAAAUGGUAUUUUGCUUGCUGUUCUCGCAAGAGACACUAUCAUCAAUCAUUUAAAAAAAUAGAUAUACUAUCAUCAAUUAUUUUAAAAAAUAGAUAUAUUAUGAUUCAUGCAUGAGCCACUACAAAUAAAUGUAUUCAUUAUUGAUCCUGCGACUGCAUGUGAGUAGGGUCCAGGUGUUGCAUUUAGCUGUAAGUCGCAAUAAAUAAAUAACGACACAAGAGAUGGGAUCGUGCAAAAGUGACAGCUGCCGCGGCAGCUUAGCUAGACCCUUCUUGGUCUUGAAUCCUGUUUCCUGACAUUAGGAUGGCACUAACAAGAAGAAAAACUUUAUGGGUUUUAAGUAAUUAAUGAUAUAUUAUUAUUAUUUUAAUAAAAAAUCUAGUGGAGGGAGCAUAUUUCUCUACGUCAAUAUUAAAGGUGAUGUUUUAUGUCCAUCUCAAUAAUUGUGAUAAAAGACAUAUCAACUACUCGUGUUUAGAUAAAAUUCAUUUACUGAUCUACCGAACCUCACUGCUUAGUUAUUCAUUUUUGUAUUAUUUUGUCUUAUUGUAAAUAACAAUAAAUAUAACUUGAGCAAACCCUAAAAUGAAAUCUUACUAUUCAAAUUCUAAUUAAACGAUUAAUCAUCUUACUUAUAGUAACAAAAUAAUUGGCCAUGAAACCUCCUUAUGAAGUUGUUUUUCAGAAUCCAUAUUUGUGAAUGAUUGUUCAUGCAAUUUGGUUUAUCAAUUAAAUUAUUUGGGGGCGGAGUUUGGCUGUGUUACUCAGUUGAGCUUCCUCUUAUUUAGUAAGCAACACUCAGCUUACUAACACUUAACCAUAGGUUUUAUUCAACUCUAUUUGAUUUUUCAGUUCCAGAAAAAGAUUAAUAAUAAUAUCAUAGGCAUGGAAAUGAAAUGAAGCAAAACAUCUCAAAGCAUAAUUAAUUUGAAAAAACAAGAAACUCCAAGAAGAUAUUUAUUAGAGUUUAAAGGCCUGUGGCGACGGACUAGUGAAGGGUUUCGGUUCCGGUCCAAUUUCCUUGGUGAAGAACCAUCUUAACUAAUCUGUCAAAAUUAUUGUAAGACUGACCUCCAACGGCAGUCGCUGCUUCAGCUUUCUUUUUCCAUUCCCAAGCCUUCUGCCUCAUUUUCUUUCCUUCAUCUCCUUCCAUCAUUUCCUUAACAAGAGCCUCAAUGUCACCACGCUUCACAUCAUGAUUGACUUCCAUGCCAAUGCCCCAAGUUGUGCAUGCAUAUCUGCAAUUUGUUUGUUGCUCAGCAAAGAAAGGCCAGCAAAUUACAGGCACGCCACCGCAAAUGCUCUCCAUUGUAGAAUUCCAGCCGCAAUGUGUCAGAAAAGCUCCAACUGAGGGGUGCAACAGCACUUGCUCUUGGUUGCACCAGCUAACUAUCAAUCCUCUAUCCUUGAUCUCUUCAAAAUACUCGUCAGGCAAGACCACGGAGUCGCCCAUCACAACGUCCGGCCUAAGAAUCCAUAAAAAUGGACGCUUGCUAUUUGCAAGACCCCAUGCAAAUUCUGUCAAGUGUUGCUCUGACAUCACAGUCACGCUGCCAUAAUUAACGUACACAACUGAAUUGGCAUCUCUUUUGUCGAGCCAUUUGAGACAGUCAGUGUCUUCCUUCCACAAGCUUGAUCCAAAUGACCUAAAUUUGGUUUCAUCCACUUGCUUGCAGAGCAACGGGAGUGGACCUACGGUGUAAAUGUUAGGAAAUUUCGAAGCAAUAACCUCUAAAGCUGCAUGUUCAAACUCAUCGAAUGUGUUAAAUAUGAUUGCAGAAGAUCUGAAGCAAUUUUGUGCUUCUGAGCCCAUGAAAUCGAACAUAAUUUCGUUAGGGUCGGUGGUUCUGAUAAAGCUUGGUAAAUCCCUGAGCCGAAUAUUGCUCAUGCCGGGGAUCCAAUCAAUAGGUUUCUCAAGAGUGCCAUCCGUAAGGAAUUUUUCAUCUGAAACACAAAAAUAGUUUUAACUUGUUAGUUUAUGGCUGAGAGGAUGAGUCAAAAUAUUCUCUGAGGAGAGGUAGUGCCAACUUCAUCACAUUACCAAUCAUUGAGGCUUCACCUAUAAAUGAUUAAAAUACUAAAUCGUUGUAAACGCAUUGAGUUUCUAUGGUGUGUUGAGGUGAUGAUAAUUGGUUGGUGCGGAGCAAGGAUUCAAAAUAUAAGGGGAUAAAAACUCAGAGAGUUAUUUUUUUUUAGGUCACAAUCUCCUUGUCACAUCAUUAAUAUAAUUAUAUUGUAAUAUAAAAAUAAAAUGUUUUUUGAGGCCAGAUAAAUUAUGUUAAGAUAUGUCUGGACAAGUUUAAACUUGUGAUUGUAACAUUAAUACAAUUAUAUUGUAAUAUGAGAAAAAAAAAAUACUUUUUGAGGCCAAAAACUUAUGUUUGAAAAAGAAAAGAUGCAGCUGCUAGGCAAAAUGUCCAAAUGUCCACAGCUUUAAAAAAUUACAAGGACAAUGACAUUAAGUGGGUCAGUUAGUGUUUUUAUAAAGGGUGGAAUUAUUUGAAUCUACUAAAUUUUUUUUAUACCCAUUUUAAAAAAAAAUAAAUACUUUAUUAAAAAUUUGAAAUUUCUUUCUCUCUCCGUUUCAAGAUUUGCACAGGCUUUCUCUAUUUUUACAUUCUGCUAAUUUAACUCUCAAUUCUACUCUUUUUUGAAUUCUUUGUUUUGUUUUGUUAGUGAAUCAUAAUCUCCAUUUCAUAUUUUCUAUGCAUAAUUUUUUUUCUUACUACUCACAAAUUUUAGUGAUUGGUAAAACUCACAUUCCUAAUGUUCAUUAAUUUUCAUAACUGAUAAAUUUUGGUGAUUUUUAUUUUUGAAUGAUGGAUUUUGAUCCUCUUAAUUUAUGAUAAUUUAAACGAAACUAAUUAUUUGUAGUAUGUAGUUAAAAGAAAAUAUAUGAAAGAAUUGAUGAGAAUUGAAGAAUUAAAAAUGAAAAGAAAAGAAAUAAUUAAUUGAGUAACAUUAUUAAAAAUUAAUUUUAAUAAUAAAAUAUAAUAAAGAGAGAAAAUUAAUGGGUACAAACAAACCUCACCAUAUAUUUUAUGAUUGGUCUCACGUCAGAUAGCACACCACAAUAAAGGAUGGUUCAAUAGAUAUUUAUUAGUAAAUUUUUCGUAUGCAAAUAAAAUGGGUCCCUGUAGGCCCAUAAUUAGCCGAAUCCUUGGCCGUACUACACCACCACAGGCACGAACAACAAGAAAAUCGACUUACAAACUUUUAUUUUAUUUUAUUUUUUAAAAAAAAAAAUCACUUAUAAUGUUGUUGCUAGUGAAAAUCAAUUUUCCCUCUUUGGAGGCAAAAUUAACCGUACGAUUACUUUUUAAGAAUUAAUUGACAAACAGAAAUCAAUUCAAAAAGAAUAAUUGACUAAUAGAGAUGAAAUGAAAUAUUUCAAAUGAAAACAAAAGUUUAAUCUUUAAUAUUAAGACACCGAACAUCAAUAAAACCCAGUGCAAAUUUUACUUAUAAAUUUCGAUAGUUCUUAUUAAUGUAUAAAAUUAAGCCGGAAGUAGAAUGAAUGAAAAUAUUGCUAUGUUUUACAAAUCCUCUUCAUAAAUUAAGAUAGAUCUUAUGUUAUGGAAUUAAAAGGAACGGAUGGAAAGAAAGAGCUGCUGUACGGCCAAGGCGGAUGUACGGUACAGCAGUUCUUUUCAGCUCAACAACUCCAGGCCUCCAGGCUCUAACCAUGAAAGUUUGUGGAGUGGCCUUACUACCGGGAACUACCAGUUUUACAACCCCUGGAAAAUACUCCAUCGGAAACCACGCAAGUAACCGGCGGCACCUGAUCAUCGGCUGAUGAAUUUAAUUUACCCAGCAACUCUAAGAAUGGAGCCAAACAGUUUUUUCUAGUGGAAUCACAUAACGCGGGAACAUCUUGUGUUGCAUCACGAUCAGACGGCGGUAAUCCGUCCGGAAUGGUUUCGAAUCGAAAAUCGGGCAGACCCUUUACGUAGUCAGGCCCUUUUGAUCGGAUUAGACGUCUGUGAUUGAACUCGGUGUUCACAAAGGUUAUAUGGAAGCCUUUUGAAUGUAAAAGUUUGGCUACUUGCAUCAAGGGACUUACAUGGCCUUGUGCUGGAUAUGGAACGCAUACUGCAUGAACUUUUCUUGCUCCGGCUGGAUCCAUCUUUUGAAUCAACUAUCAAGUGGAUUCAGUUCAAUAUCAAGCCUGUAUGCAGUGCAGAGACUUAUGGUUUCAGCUUUGCAAUUUAUUGUCAAAUUGCGGUAACUAUUGUUUUCCUUGAAAGUGAACUAUUGUUUUCCAAUAACACGGGAAUCAUCGAAAGAGACCGUGAAUUGUUAUUUACUUCAAAAAGAUAAUAAAAAUUAAAAAGACUAGACAGAACCUGACAAAAUCGGAGUAUGCGUUCGGCCGGCUUACUGUGUUGGCAAUUAAAUAUUUAAAUCCGAUUGAGAUUAAACACCGCCUCUUUAGCAUUUCAUGUGAUUUUUAUUUUUUAUUUUUGUUUAAAUAUCAGUGCACUAAAAAAAAUUGUUAGUCUGGAUUUUUUUAAAUCAAAAUUAUCUCGAAUUUUUAAUAGUUCACUGAAUAAAAUUGAUUGCAACUGUUUGUAUUCCAAAAUAUAUAUAUAUAUAUACUCUAGAAACUCAUAUUUUAUAAAAUUUUAUAUAUAAAAAUAUCUGUAGUUAAAAUUACUAUUAAGGACAACUUGUAACAUUAAAUAAAAUACUACAUUUAACACGGCAUGUGUUUGAAUCUAAUCUCAAAGGACUCUUACAGUUCCCUCUUUUAACUAAAAAUUGGUUAGCAAUAGGCAUCUUUCUAUUGAUGUGUGCAGAGCAAAUAUUCUUAGAGUAAUGAUAUAGCCACAAACUCUUGUACAAACUUAUUUUGUACAAACUGAUGUGGCAUGAUAAGAUUGGUUGAAUUAAAUAUCACUUGGCCCACAUGAUUUGUUUUUAUUAUUUUAUAUUUUCAUUCAACCAAUGAAUUAAUGCCACGUCAGUUUGUACAAAAUAAAUUUGUACAAGAGUUUAUGGCUGUAUCAUUACUCAUAUUCUUAUAAUAUUUGCGAGGUUACAAAUUGUGUAAUAAUACAUUUGAUUUUAAAGUGAUCCUAAAAAAAUAUGUGAUGUAAAUAUCAAUAGAUUAUACAAUAGAACACCUUUUCAUCCAGCAUUCAUAUAUUCAAUUUCCAAUUUUUCAUAUCACUUUCGACAAAUCCCGAGUUAUAUGUUCUUCUUUGAUGAUUUUAUUUCCUAGAGAAUGAAACUUUACUUGAAAUUCAUAAUGAAUUAAAUGCAAAUAGCUGCAAGUUGUUUUCCAAUAAAGGGGGUGUAUUGUUCAACUCUGUAAAGUCCAAAUGUCUUAUAUAUUGAAACAAGUUUAUUAUACACUUUCCAUGAGUUUUAUUUUUUAUUUUUUCUUUUCUUUUUCAGUGGGUGUUAGAAGGAAUCAAAUUGAACAAAUGAUUGUUUUAAUUAAAAGAAUAUUUAAACUACCUUUUUAGGGUGCAUUUGUAUAGCUUCGUUCAACGAAAUUUGUAAUUUAUAAACCUAAAAUAUAUAUAUAUAAUUCAUUUAUUUUUUAAGAAAUUUAAAUCGUUAAUUUCAGAAAAAUUAAUAAAUUGUCAUUAUCAUAUGGCUGAUCCGAUGUUAAUACCAAACGACAUGUAAGAUAUUGAUGAAAUAAUGAAAUUUGUAUAUAUAUAUAUAUAUAUAGUCCGGAAUCUUAAAAUGCGGGAAAAUUUUAAAACCACAGGAUUUUAAAGACUUACAACUUGAAACGCUUAAACCGCACGAUUUAUACGUUUUUCCGAACGUUCCUACACUUUAAAAUUCUGGACUGAAACAUUUCUAAUAUAUAUUCAUUUAAUUUUUAAGGAAUUUAAAUCCUUAAUCUAAAAAAAAAAUUUCUAUCAUACAGCUGAUUCGGGUUUAAUACCAAUAACAAGAACAUAUUGUGCUGAGUGGUGACUAGUGAGUAAUAAAUAAUAUUAAAUGGAGCUUGACUAUGUUUAGAUUAUGUUACAGACAAUGUGACAUACAACAAAUAGAUUAAUUGUCACUUAUAGUAAUUUAAUUAUUUUAUAUACUACAAUUUUGUAAUUUUGAGUAACAACUCAAAAGUUAGUCUACAUUAUACAUGACGUAACAUAGCUUGAUCCCAUUAAAUGACAAAUUAUUACAUUACAGACAAGAUUAAACUUUUAAAAAAAAUAUGACAUCCAAUUGCAGCCCUUCUCUCGCGACAUUUUGAUAUUUUCCACCCAGGUGAAGAAAAGUAUUUAGUUUGAAUAUUCGUUAAUUUUUGGCUAAAUAAAAUUGUAAUAUAUAGUGUGCGGUCCAUAAUCAGAGCUUGACGGGUCAAAUUACAUUAUUAAUACGCCGAUUAAUUGAGUUUAGCUCCAAAUCACUAGCAGAAUAAGAAAUUUCAAAACACAGAUUUCGUCCUUUUUCAUAUGAAAAAGAUUUGUGCAACUUCAUGUCACGAUCUAAAUCUAACCCCAGUCGUAUGCAAUCUCAAUGCAAUUGACCUGUGGUUUGGUAAUAUCAUGAAAAAGAUUUGUGCAACUUCAUGUCAUGAUCUAAAUCUAACCCCAGUCGUAUGCAAUCUCAAUGCAAUUGACCUGUGGUUUGGUAAUAUCCCUUUGGAAAGUUAAUUCGUCUAUUGAUGAGCAAUAUUCGAUUGCAAGUUGCAAUACCGAUGAGGCUUAAAAAUAUCUCUCGACAAACAAUUAAAGAGCUUAAUAAAUUUUGCCUUUUUCUCUCCAACACUUAGAUUUAUACUUGGUUGAGAUUUAUACUUGGUUGAUUAGCCGAACAGAUAACAAUUUAUUGCUGACCUAAGUUUGGGGCACAGAAUAAAUAGUUAUUAGAUAAAAAAUAAUUAUUAUUAUAUUUAUUGAUUCGGUUCUUAGCAAAAACUCAAUUGAAUGUUGAAUUUUAUCUCAACCAAAUAUGAUAGCAUCAGCAUUGAGAUAAUGACAAUAUUGUAGCAUCAAUGCAAAGAUAAGAUAAGAGAUGUUGAAUGUCGAAUUGAGAUUGCUUCAGGAUAUAACCGAGUGGUUUGUAAGUGAUUUAUUUAAACAUCUAAAUUUAAAUUAUAAGAAAGAUAAGAGAUUGAAAAUCAAUUUGUGUUUACUCAUCCCUAUCUUUUAAGAAAAAUUAUUUAUGUAUGAAAAAAAAAAUUGAAUCGGUGCCUCUCUGCCUCAUCAUACGUAACGAGAUCAAAAGCUUCUAAAGUUGUAACGGAUAAGAUGGAAGAAAAUACUGCUCACUCAGCUACGUGCAAUUCAUUCUUUGGCUUAUUCAUCAAUCAUUGCCAUUUUCACUUAAGAAAAGUCACUUUGUAAGGUUCGUGCACGUAUGUCUUUCAUCUCUUUUAAUAAAUAUACGGUUCAUAAUUAGGUUGAUUUUUUUUUGGAAUGACUCUUGAUCUCACAUCAAGGUACAGAGUUAAUUGAAUGGUACUUGGUUCAUCUACAUAAGCCGACAUUUCGGAAUUAAAUACGUAAUUCUAUGAAUUUUUUAUGUGCAUUUUAAAGAAAUUCGAUGAGUACAAUAAUAUCUUUGUAUUGAUGUAAGUGAACGAUUCGGCGGAGAAGGUUUCGGAGCCCAGAUAUUGUACCAAGUGGGCUAAUGUCCCGAAAUUUGGGGCUAAGUACAGUUAUGUAUUGGCGCUAAUUUACUGAAACCUUCAGACGUUUUGCAAAAUCACAAAUUUCUAGAGCGAUAUCAUUACUUAAUUUCAAAGGACCUCCGCUUGACUUAACAGCAAAACGUUUUGCAAACGCCAACUUGCCAAGACCAAGACGCAGGUAGUACCUGAAAUAUUGAUAAAUUCUCUGCAUGUCACAAACUAAAUAAAUUGAACUUGUAAUGUAAAGAUUAAAACUGACUAAAUUGAACAAGUAAUUAAACUUGCAACGACCGUAUGAUUACCCUGAAAACAAAGAUUUACGUAAAAAAUGCCCUGAAGUAGAAAGAAUUACACCUGAAACUGUUAAUCAGCAGCAUGUACUGCAGGUCUUGUAGUUGUAGAGGCUAUAGGGGAUGCUCUUUCAAGAAAUCCCUUUGCAUCAGUUUGAACAGAAUUUCUUGUUUAAACUUUUUCCCUUAGGUGAAAUAAUGUAACUAACUUUGUCCAAUGUUUAGAUAGAUACACGAAGCAUAUAGAAAUUAAGGUAUCCCUGAUAUCAUUAAUGACGUGUUUACUAAUGAAUAAUUGGAAUGUAGUGGAAUUGGAAUGAGAAAUGGGGAAUGAGAAUCAAAAUAAAUUGUUUACUUUAACUGUGAGAAUCAUAAUCGAAUUGUAUUGUCGUUGAUGUGUUUACUUUAUUUUAGAAUUGGAAUGGAUUGUUACAAGUUAUUAAACUGACUAUAGUAGAUUAUUGUCAAUUAUUAUUAUUAUUAUUAUUAUUAUUAUUAUUAUUAUUAUUAUUACUAUUACUACUAGUAGUAGCAAUAAUAAUGAUUAAUAAUUAUAAUUAAUAUUAAUAGUAACAAUUUAUUAUUAUUAUUGUUAUUGUUGUUGUUAUCAACAAAAAAAUUUUCCUACUACUACUGCUGCCGCUGCUACUACUACUAAUAAUAAUAAUAUAAGGAUAAAAUGGGAAUUUCAAAAUUUAAGUAGGGUAAUAUAGUCACAUUAGGAAACGGGGAUCUCAUUUCCACCUUCCCAUAGGAACGAGAACUCUACUAAUCAUUAUUAAUUUUAGGUGGGACCCAUCACUUUGAUUUUCAUUUUACCUUUUAUUUAAAUAAGUAAGCACAUCAUUUAUUCACAUUUCUUAAAUCUCAUUUCCAUUCCCAAUAAAUAAACACACCAUAAGUUAAGGAUAAGUAUUUUCUCAUGAUCUGAUCAUGUUCUGAGCAAAUAAUUCAAUUGUUAAUUGAUUGUUAAUAAUAAAAAAAUUAAAUUUUACUCAUACACUAUCACUAAAAGACACAUGAUAGAAGAUCUUUAAAAACUCAGUAGAGCUCGCUCGUAUCAAGAGAGGAUCCUAUUCAUAAGUUAAACAAGGACCCACACCCUAAAACUAACACUUUCUAAAAUUUAUUUCGAUUCAUUGAAUUUUCGGGUCCUGUUAGACUGCCCGUUCAUAUUAAUUUAUUGGUAGUAAACAAUGUACAGGAUAUCAAAUAACCGGCAUCGUCAAACUUCUGGGGUUGGAUUCGAUCCAACCCUUCUUCGGCGGCGAGGAGAGAACCGAGUCGGAGAUCCAAUUAUCCGGGUCGCCUUUGGUCUCCACGGCCCGAACCGACUGGAUAUGGAAGGCGUUUUUGCCAGACGGGUCAAAUCGAGACCACGAAGCAUCGAACGUGAGUGGGCCCAACGCGGUGGAUGUUUCGGGCUUGGAAUAUCCGGAUACGGUUGUGGUGGUGGGGGGGUUCGACCCGUUGCAGGAUUGGCAAAGAAGAUAUUACGAGUGGUUGAAAAAAUCAGGAAAAGAAGCAACACUGAUCGAGUAUCCAAACAUGAUCCAUGCGUUUUAUGUUUUUCCGGAAUUGCCGGAGGCUUCUCAGUUAAUAUCACAAAUUAAAGAUUUUAUAUCCAAGAGGAUAUCUAAAAUAUAAGUGGUGUGUUUUACUUUUACAUAAUAAUCUCGUAAUAUUCGUAAAUUACGGAGGAAUGCCUUGGUGUCUGUCGUUAUUGUGGAGAAGUAUAAAAUAUUAUGCUAUUUAUAUUGUGAGAUGUGGUGUGCUUUAUGAGAUAAUCUAUGAAUAAAUUUAUUUCGAUUCAUUGAAUUUUCGGGUCCUGUUAGACUGCCCGUUCAUAUUAAUUUAUUGGUAGUAAUUUAUAGGCAUAUCAACUUGUGUCCCUUUAGCUUCAUGCAUUUAUAUCGAAAUCAAAGGAAACACUCGACAAAAAGUUCAGUAACAUUUAAAUUGGAAUCCGCACAUAUGAGACUUGUAAAACAAAUGAGAGGUAAAAUAAAACUUAUAAAUACGAGGUAAAAUAAUAAAUCAAUAUAAAAAAGGUAAAUUAUUGCUUUAAAAUUAUAAACAAAAUAAAUACAUAUAAAAAUAACAUUUAAUUUAUAAGUUAACAAUACAAAUAAAAAUAACAUUAAAUUUAUAAAUUAACAUUAAAUUUUAAUUAAAAAUAAUUUAUUCAUUUCAUUUAAUUAACAAAGAAAAAAAUUAUUGAUCAGUUGAAAAAAAAAUUGUAUUCAAAAUAAUUGGAUAAAUUUUAUUGAACUGGUUUGACUAUAAAUUUUGUAUUCAUUCUAUAACAUUUAUAAAUUUUUAUUUUUAUUUUUUAUCAUAGUAUUUGUUUACUACAUAAAUUGAUUAAGCAAAUAAAAAGAUAUUCUUAUUUUUUAGACAUAUAUGAUAUAGCAAUAAAAUUAAAUUUUAUUAUCAGUUUUAUACAUAUUUCACGUGGUCUUUUUUUUUUUUGAAUACUGAUUAAUCAUCAGAUUACUGCAUUACACAGAUAUUUACAAUAACUGAUAUUGUAGCAGAGAUAUUACACUGAUAUUUACAAUCAGAUAUACAUGAUUGGGACUUACUUUAUUACAUUGAAUUCUAUGAAGUACAUGCCCAGAUAAAUAAUCCCUCACAGGGGAGAGAUGUCCAUACUCCACUCGCAUUUCGCAAGGGAGAAUGAUUUUUAAAUAUGAAGAACAUUUAUACUUUACUUUUUUACUUGUAUUUAAACAUUAUGUUGAAUUGCUUUUGAGAAGGUCUAGAAGGAAGCAAAAUCAACUUAUCUUACAAACUCUUUGAAAAACAUGAAAAGAAUAGUUUUUCAAAAUUCAAUUUUGAGAAUAAGUUUAUCUUAAUAAAAUUUCACAUAUAUUAUCACAUGUAUUACAUAAACCCAAAAUUAUCAUUACUCAAUUUAGAAAUAAAAUCAAUAAAUGUUUAAGGUAAUUAUCCUUAUAAUGAGUUUUUAUUUUACGUUUAUAAUUUUUUAUUUUUUUAAUAACUCUUAUAUUAAUUUACUUAUUUUAUCUUCCAUUUACAUAAUUUAUGUUUUAUUUUACACUUGAUGUGAUUUAUAAGUUUUAUAUUAUAUUUUCAUUUUUUGUUUUGUUUACUAAUAAUAUACCAAUUUAUCACUCCUAUAUUCAUUUACUUGUUUUACCUUCUAUAUAUAAGUCUUAUUCUUCAUUUACAUAAUAUAUGUUUUAUUUUACAUUUAGUGUUGAUUUACAAGUUUUAUCUUACAUUUGUAAGUUUUUACUUUGUUUACCAAUAAUACACAUAUUUGUGGUUGAAAAAAUCAGGAAAAGAAGCAACACUGAUCGAGUAUCCAAACAUGAUCCAUGCGUUUUAUGUUUUUCCGGAAUUGCCGGAGGCUUCUCAGUUAAUAUCACAAAUUAAAGAUUUUAUAUCCAAGAGGAUAUCUAAAAUAUAAGUGGCGUGUUUAACUUUUACAUAAUAAUCUCGUAAUAUUCGUAAAUUACGGAGGAAUGCCUUGGUGUCUGUCGUUAUUGUGGAGAAGUAUAAAAUAUUAUGCUAUUUAUAUUGUGAGAUGUGGUGUGCUUUAUGAGAUAAUCUAUGAAUAAAUUUAUUUCGAUUCAUUGAAUUUUCGGGUCCUGUUAGACUGCCCGUUCAUAUUAAUUUAUUGGUAGUAAUUUAUAGGCAUAUCAACUUGUGUCCCUUUAGCUUCAUGCAUUUAUAUCGAAAUCAAAGGAAACACUCGACAAAAAGUUCAGUAACAUUUAAAUUGGAAUCCGCACAUAUGAGACUUGUAAAACAAAUGAGAGGUAAAAUAAAACUUAUAAAUACGAGGUAAAAUAAUAAAUCAAUAUAAAAAAGGUAAAUUAUUGCUUUAAAAUUAUAAACAAAAUAAAUACAUAUAAAAAUAACAUUUAAUUUAUAAGUUAACAAUACAAAUAAAAAUAACAUUAAAUUUAUAAAUUAACAUUAAAUUUUAAUUAAAAAUAAUUUAUUCAUUUCAUUUAAUUAACAAAGAAAAAAAUUAUUGAUCAGUUGAAAAAAAAAUUGUAUUCAAAAUAAUUGGAUAAAUUUUAUUGAACUGGUUUGACUAUAAAUUUUGUAUUCAUUCUAUAACAUUUAUAAAUUUUUAUUUUUAUUUUUUAUCAUAGUAUUUGUUUACUACAUAAAUUGAUUAAGCAAAUAAAAAGAUAUUCUUAUUUUUUAGACAUAUAUGAUAUAGCAAUAAAAUUAAAUUUUAUUAUCAGUUUUAUACAUAUUUCACGUGGUCUUUUUUUUUUUUGAAUACUGAUUAAUCAUCAGAUUACUGCAUUACACAGAUAUUUACAAUAACUGAUAUUGUAGCAGAGAUAUUACACUGAUAUUUACAAUCAGAUAUACAUGAUUGGGACUUACUUUAUUACAUUGAAUUCUAUGAAGUACAUGCCCAGAUAAAUAAUCCCUCACAGGGGAGAGAUGUCCAUACUCCACUCGCAUUUCGCAAGGGAGAAUGAUUUUUAAAUAUGAAGAACAUUUAUACUUUACUUUUUUACUUGUAUUUAAACAUUAUGUUGAAUUGCUUUUGAGAAGGUCUAGAAGGAAGCAAAAUCAACUUAUCUUACAAACUCUUUGAAAAACAUGAAAAGAAUAGUUUUUCAAAAUUCAAUUUUGAGAAUAAGUUUAUCUUAAUAAAAUUUCACAUAUAUUAUCACAUGUAUUACAUAAACCCAAAAUUAUCAUUACUCAAUUUAGAAAUAAAAUCAAUAAAUGUUUAAGGUAAUUAUCCUUAUAAUGAGUUUUUAUUUUACGUUUAUAAUUUUUUAUUUUUUUAAUAACUCUUAUAUUAAUUUACUUAUUUUAUCUUCCAUUUACAUAAUUUAUGUUUUAUUUUACACUUGAUGUGAUUUAUAAGUUUUAUAUUAUAUUUUCAUUUUUUGUUUUGUUUACUAAUAAUAUACCAAUUUAUCACUCCUAUAUUCAUUUACUUGUUUUACCUUCUAUAUAUAAGUCUUAUUCUUCAUUUACAUAAUAUAUGUUUUAUUUUACAUUUAGUGUUGAUUUACAAGUUUUAUCUUACAUUUGUAAGUUUUUACUUUGUUUACCAAUAAUACACAUAUUUACUACUAUUGUGUUAAUUUACUUAUUUUAUCUUCUAGUUACAAGUCUUAUAUUUCAUUUACAUAAUUUAUGUUGUAUUUUAUACUUAACAUUGAUUUACAAGUUUUAUGUUACAUUUGUAAGUUUUUAUUUUGUUUAGUAAUAAUACAACAAUUUACCAUUCUUAUAUUAAUUUACUUGUUUAUCUACUAUCUACAAGUCCUACAUUUCAUUUUACAUAAUUUAUUUAUUUUUACACUUAAUGUUACAUUUGUAAGUUUUUAUUUUGUUUACCCAUAAUACACUAAUUUAUCACUCCUAUGUUAAUUUACUUGUUUUACCUUUCAUUUACAAAUCUUAUAUUUUAUUUACAUAAUUUAUGUUUUAUUUUACAUUUAAUAUUGAUUUACAAAUUUUAUGUUAAAUUUGUAAGUUUUUAUUUUGUUUACCAAUAAUACAUCAAUUUAUCCUCCUAUGCGAAUUUACUUAUUUUACCUUCCAUUUACAAGUCUUAUAUUUCAUUUACUAAAUUAAUGUUUUAUUUUACAUUUAAUGUUGAUUUACAUGUUUUAUAUUAUAUUUGCAAGAUUUUGUUUUGUUUACCAACAAUACAUCAAUUUAUCACUCCUAUGUUAAAUUUGUUUUUUCAUUUACAAGUCUUAUGUUUCUUUUACAUAAUUUAUACUUAAUGUUAAUUUAUAAGUUUUAUGUUACAUUUAUAAUCUUUUUGUCUUGUUUGCCAAUAAUAUGUCAAUUUACUAUUUCUAUGUUAUUUUACAUGCUUUACCAUCCAUUUAUAAGUCUUAGAUUUCAUUUACUUAAUCUAUGUUUUAUUUUAUACUUAAUGGUGAUUUGCAGGUUUUAUGUUUAAUUUACAUGUCUUGUGUUUCAUUUAUAUAAUUUAUAUUUAAUUAUGGUAUUGAUGUGGUGACUCCUUUGAUCCUAAUUUAUAUAUGUACGUGGAUUCUCUUUGUUAGUUUAAUGUGCUUGAGAAAUGAGUUUUAUAUAUAAGAAACCUUUAAUUAUCAUUAUACGAAAGGUUUGUAAUAAACUAUGCUUUGAUGAUGUUCUUAUUCCUUAAUCACAAUUGAAGCGUAUCAUUUCAAGCCACUUACUAUAUAAACACAACCAGCAUAGGACUAGUUGGGGUACGACUCACUUUUGAAAUUUUAUUAUUAUUAUUAUUAUUAUAAAAAAUAUAUUUUAUUUAUUAUUUAAAGAAAGUACCAGCUAAAAUAUAAAAUUAUGAAAGUGCUCCAAUUAACUUUAAAAGAUUCUAUAUUUAAAUGUUUCUCGUUGCCUUUACUUUAAAUAUCUAAUUCUAAAUAAUUUAAUUAACUAUUAUAAUAUUAUGAAAUUUAAAUAAAGAUAAAUGACAAUAGGUAUUAAAAUAAAAAAUUAUUAAAAAAGAAAAAAAGAGAUUCAUUUUUCUCUUUUUUUUUUUUAUCUCUUUUUAGUGCUUCAAAUUUAAGACGCUUUUUUUAUUUACUUGUCAACACAGUAGUGGAGUAGCUGACUAGAGCAGUGCGUGUGCGUCAGUGCAUGAAUUUCAUCCCAGUUCCUAUGAAUUAAAAGCGCUUUCCUUCAAUUAUCUAGCUAAAUCUAACUUUUAAUUAUUCUAAUUGAUCUUUUAUUUAGUUUUAAGAUCUCUAAUUUUAUCAUGUAUUCAUGUUUGAUAUUUGCAUUGCAUUAUAUGAAUAUUUAUACUAUUAUUAAAAUAUUUUAAAAACAAAUUAAGUGAUCACUUAUUUCUGUACAUUUAAAAAGAUGUUUUUAAUUGUAUUGAUAAUGAAACUAUCUUACAUCAUUUUCAAUACUUGAAGUCCCAUCUAGGAAUUUUUGAUGAGGACAAUUAUAAUAUGUAAAUUUAUUUUCAAUAAAUAUUAUAAGGGUUAUUAUCAUUUCAUUAUUUCAAAAAUUGAAAAAUAUAAAAUGACUACAAGAAGUAUUAUCCCCAAUCAUUUUCCUACUAUCUUUACAAAAAUAUUAUUUUAUUAUUUUUUUGUUACAACCGUUAGUUGACUAACAAAAUACCAAUUUCACCCUUCAUGAUUAAAAAAUAAUAAUACUUGAAGCGUAUUUACAAAAUCUUUCACAUUUAUUUGAUCAUCCAAGUUUUAUUUCCGACGUUAGGAUAUAAAAAUAGAAUAAUUAAUAAGACAAAUUUAUAAUCCAUAUAUCAUAAUUCCAGCAAAAAGAAUUAUGUUGGUAUUUUGUAUUUAUUUUAAUAAAUAUAUUACAAAUUUAUCUUAUUAAUGAUUCCAUUUUUAUAUCCUAAUGUUGGAAAUAAAACUUGGAUGAUCGAAUAAAUGUGGAAGAGCUAAUUUUGGAAAUAAGCUUCAAGUAUUUUUUUUUUAAAAAAUCAUGUAGGGUAAAAUUAGUAUUUUGUUAAUCAACUAACUGGUCAACUAACGGUUGUGACAGAAAAAUAAUAAAAUGAUAUUUGUUGUAACAAAAAAGUAAUAAAAUGAUAUUUUUAUAAAAAUAUAAUAAAAAAAUAAUAAGAGACAAUACUUCUAAUAGUCAUUUAAUAUUUUUUAAUUUUUAAAGUUGUGAAAUGAUAAUAACCCAUAUUAUAAUUGUAAUGUUAUAUACUCUAUUAAAAUUGUAUUCUAAUUUAAAUAGGAUGUUGACUAGGUGCUCGCAGUCUCACACCUUAUUGAGCACGACUGAGCAAAUGGCAAGCUCCCAUUUGGGGUUGUGAGGCCAACAGCACAACUCUUCAAAUGAGAGCUUGACGUGUGCGCUGUCGCCCACUUGAUCAUGUUCGAUUUUAAGUAUACUCCAAUUCAAUUGAAAUCCUGGCUGACAUCCCUGCUUAGUUGUACAUUUCAGCAAUAUCCGUCCAGGUUUUGUAAGUGGUUCUUUAUAUGUCUAUACUAUUUCGUACUUACAACAGCCUCUUACAAAAUCUGGCAUCCACCCUUGCCUAGCUCCAUUUCCAUGGAUCAAGAUCAAUAUGGAUGGUACAGCUAAAGAAAUCCUAGUAUUUUGUCUUGCGGUAUUUUGAGGUUAUAAUGGUACUUUCAAGGGACGUUUUGCAAAGCCUAAGGCUUAGGGUAUAUUUGCUAUCAUUCUGGCCAUUGAAUUGACUUCUCAACAGGGUAGGGAAUUUAGUUUGGCUAGCAAGUGACUCAGAUGCUAAAGCUGCUUGUACAACUAAUUCCAAUUUUAUGCCAUAUUCGCAAUUUCGUACUAGGUGGCACAACUGUCCGCAAUUAAUUUAUGGCAUGACGUUUUGUUGCUCUCAUGUUUAUAGAAAGGUGAAAACUGGAGCUGACAAAUUUAAUUAUUUGAUAAAUUUAGUUGUUGCAGGUUUAUUUGGUAGGACUCGCCUCCAGAAGCUGUACAGAAUUUGGGGCUAUGCGGAUGCUUGGGUUUGACCCAAAUAUGGUUAUUAUUGAUUCUGCUUUCUUAGACCAAUAUCCAUUUGUUAAUAUUUACCGAAACAUGAUAUGUGUUGCACAUGUGUAUUUUUUUGUUAACACUCUGGGUGGUAAUUCCUCUGUGAGCAUAAUGUACCAAAAAUGACUGGUUGCUGUCCACUUUUCACUUCUUUGACCACAAUUGCCCUUAUGCCAGUUGGGGAGGGAAAAGAGGCCUGCUGCAAGAAGAGUUAGUGAUUAACAAGUGCCUGUUGAAUUAAUCUUGAAAGAUAAUAGUACAUGUUGUUAGUUGAUUGUCAAGAAUGAUGAUACUUGAAGAUGAUUUUUUAAUUACUCGUGUGACAAAUAGAGGAAGCCCUUUUACAGUAGCUGAUCAUAGAUUUGAACAUAUUGUUAUUGGACACCUCACCUUCUCUCUCUCUCUCUCUCUGUGAAAUGGUCGCUGUCUGUCUGGCAAGAUCAAAAUGAUUUUUUAAGGUUGUUUUGGUUUGCAAUAAGAAGUCUGAGAGAUAAAUCUCCUUAGCCCUACUAGGUGCCAUUUAUCUUGAAUGGUUUUCUCAUUAAUUUGUGAAUUUUUUAAAAUCCUUUGACAUAUUGAAACUUCUGUUUUAUGAAGCUACAUGUUGAGAAAAUUGGAAAAAAUGGUUGAUAACUGUCUGGUCUCUACGUAAGAUGUAUUGGUUGGGUUUAGAUAGUUGAUUGGUUGAAUGUAUAUUCUUUCAUUGACAUCAAAUGGUUACAUGCUUCCACAUGCAGUCCUGAGGAUGAGUUAGGAGUCCUUUGUGUAUGAUGGGAAAUGUGAUAUGUGGAUCUUUGCUAGAUAGUCAGCUUGCACAUAUCAUCUAACUAGAAAUGGGAUGGGGGUUUCUCUAUUGCAGAAAUUUGAUGUGAUGUAUUUGAAUAUUAUUGUUUGGUGGCUGAAGUAGUUUAUUGUUUCUCUCAAGCGGGCAAUGGUUUGAAGCUCGAUAUAUCAUAUUGUCAGACUUUGUAUUUUAGUGAUUAGUGAAGGGUGUCUAACUAAUAUCGUACUAUUCUGCAGCAUCGCAAGCAGGUUAAGCUGUCUGGCUGCUCCAAGUUCAAGCUUUUUUUCACGCGAUUCCUUCUCUUUGUUUUCUUAUGCUAGUCCAUCUCAGACUUCAUACCGUCGUAGGGGAGCACGAUUGAUCGUUAGAGCUGAUAGUGUGAGUAUAGGCUUUAUGUACUUUGGAAAAUGGAUCCUUUAUUUGUUGUUUUUUUCGCGCUGUUGAUGCAAUUGAUAUGUUCACCGUGUGAUUGUAUUCAUGCGCAGGACUACUAUUCAGUUCUAGGGGUGUCAAGAAAUGCAAGUAAAUCUGAAAUUAAAAGCGGUACGUAGACUUACGAUUUUUUCUGGGGUGAGCUGGUCUAUCACGUUCAUUAUAUCUGUGAUCUGUCCUCCUCUGCUUUCUUUUUUGGUGUGAUAUUUAACUUUGUGUUUAAUUAUGACUUUGCGAAUGAUUGAAGCUUAAUAAUUAACCCAGGUUUUGUGGUUGUCUGAAUUGAAGGUCACAGAAUUAUUUAGAGUUUCAUCUUUACUAAUUCCAUGAAUAUUUCCAUUUUGUAUUUUUCGCACUCUGCCUUGUAGUUUAUUAGUAUUCAGUACCAUCUUUUGUCCAUUAAAUUUUGUCUCUCUGUUUGUUUCUCAGUUUAUCUGCAUAUACAAUUUGCUUGUGUUUCAUUAUCCUUUUGCUCUUCUAAGUCCAUGGGAAAAGAGAUUUACGUUUUAUAUGACAUACCUGAUUUUAAUUUCUUCUUUGAAGUCCCGCUGCUUUUGAAGUUGAAGCAAUACCAUAACUUAAAAUGGUUAUAUCACAUAUAAUAUGGUCUUUUUAUGAGAAAUAUUAUAUAAUUGCAGAAAACCUUAUGUAGUUUACACAAAACUGUAAACGUUAAGGUGCUGCAAAUAUAUAUACUUGAGUUGGUGACUGACUCUGAUAAAAAUCUUUUUACAGUUCACUAGAAUGGUGACUAUAAAUUAUAGUUAAAAUGGGACAGUUAUAACUAGUAUCUGGGAAGGUGAAGUAUAAACUUACGUAUUUUUGUACACCUAAUCAAUUACAUUCAAGUAGCAAACAUCUGUUGGAUAUUCCUUUUUCUCGGUUUGCUGCAUAAUGUUUCUCAAUUGUCACUUGUAGCUGCCUGUAAAUUUUGUCAAUUAAUGUUACUGGCUCUUUUCAAACUUUUCUUUUAUAGCUUAUCGGAAGCUUGCAAGGAGUUAUCACCCGGAUGUAAACAAGUAAGUUCUUUCUCAUUCUUUCUCUUUAUCUAUAAUCUCAAAAGGAAGUUACAAUACUUAAAAAGCUUACCAUUUCGUUUGUAUGAAUCUUCCAAAAAUUAAGUUUGCUUACUUUUGGAAUCAUUUAAUUGUAUUAUGCAGAGAACCUAAUGCAGAACAGAAGUUCAAGGAAAUUAGCAAUGCAUAUGAGGUAAAAAAGGUUCAGUUAUGCAUUUUAUGAUUGAACUUUGUUCAUUGUGUAAAGUAUCUGAUCUUAAGGAAUACAACCAUUCUGUUCUGCAGGUUCUGUCAGAUGAUGAGAAACGUUCUUUAAAUGACAAAUUUGGGGAGGCUGGACUUAAAGGUGCUGGUAUGGGCAUGGGGGUAAGUUAAAUUUCCACUGAUUAUUGCAUAUAUUUAUUGUUGGCCCCUUCUAAUUCUCCAUUUUGGAUCAACUACUUGAGCAUGCCAGGAUUUCAGCAAUCCUUUCGAUUUGUUUGAAUCACUAUUUGAGGGCACGGGUGGUAUGGGCGGAAUGGGGAGCAUGGGGAGCAGAGCUUCCAGGAGCAGAGCAGUUGAUGGACAAGAUGAAUAUUACAGCCUUGUCAUAAAUUUCAAAGAAGCUGUUUUUGGCGUUGAAAAGGAGAUUGAGAUAACACGUCUUGAGACCUGUGGCACUUGCAAUGGUUCUGGUGCAAAGCCAUCUACAUGUAGUACCUGUGGUGGCCAGGGACAAGUAGUCUCAUCAGCAAGGACUCCGUUAGGUGUCUUCCAGCAGGUAAUGACUUGCUCUUCAUGCGGUGGGACCGGGGAAGUGUCUACCUCUUGCAACACGUGUUCUGGGGACGGACGAGUAAGGAGGACAAAGCGGAUCAGUCUGAAAAUUCCUGCUGGUGUGGACACUGAGAGCCGUUUAAGAGUACGGGGAGAAGGAAAUGCUGGAAGGAGAGGUGGUUCUCCUGGUGACCUCUUUGUUGUUAUUGAAGUUAUCCCAGACCCUGUGCUAAAACGUGAUGGUACCAACAUUUUAUAUACCUGCAAAGUGUCAUAUAUAGAUGCAAUUUUGGGGACUACCAUAAAGGUCCCAACAGUGGAUGGCAUGGUUGAUUUGAAGAUCCCAGCUGGGACCCAGCCGAACACAACACUUGUUAUGGCAAAGAAAGGGGUACCAGUACUAAAUAAAAGCAACAUGAGAGGAGAUCAGUUGGUACGCGUCCAAGUUGAAAUCCCGAAAAGAUUGAGCAGUGAAGAGAGAAAACUUAUUGAGGAGCUUGCUGAUCUGAGCAAGGGAAAGACAGCAAGCAGGAGAUAGUUGCUUGGGCCUUUUUGUAUUUAUCAAAUUUAUGUUGCUCACCCCGAAGAAACAUUCUUCAUUCUAUGGUGGUCAUUGCUGAGUCUAUAUGGCUCAUGAUAAGGGGAUUUCUGAAUUUGACAGUUCUCAGUGUGUCUGAGCUGAGGAAAUGGGGUAAGCAAGUUUCUGUAGUAGUAGGUGAAAUUACAUUGCUUUACUUUUGACCACAAGAAGAUAUCUUUGAGAAUGGUUAAUGGAGGUGAAAUGGGAGAUGCAUCCCUCUUUAAUUUUGUUUUCUACUUGAUUUCAUAAGUUACCUAUUAAUUAUUUUUUGGAGUGUGACUAGAUUUUGUGCAAUAAUACCAUCCUUUAAUUUUGCAACAGCUUGAUGAUUUUUGCGAAUGUGGACUUGUGAUGAAAUGGUUUUAUUUAUUUUUUUACUUCGGUCAUUAGUCAAUGAUUAUUGAUCAUGGCUGCAGGGGUCAAAUUCAUUCCCUCGAAAUGAAUUGUAUAUCUGUCAAUGUGUGAAUGGGGAUCUAAGUUUAAUACUUGGACAAGUAUUUCUACUCGAAUUGUUCUGAAUAUGUAUUUUUAUUUUUAUUUUUUUGGCGGGGUCAAUGCCCAUGGAGUUGUCGGACUGCUUUGUUUUCAUGCAUUAGAUUUUAUUAUCAGGGGUUGUAUGAAUUCCGAAAUUAUACUCGAUCCAGUGUCCCCUCGAUUGCGCACCACCAAAAAUUACUAAAGCAUAAAAAUCAUUCGAAUGCUUAGUUUGGUUUAGUCUGUGUCAUUUGGAUGGCCAGUCUUCAGAUAAUGCAUUGGAUAUUAUUCUUUUUUGUUAGGUAGUAAGGGUAAAAGAUGCUCAUUAUCGUUUUCCUAAAUCUUAUUAGUGGCCUCCUCUUAGCACUUAGCGGUAUCGUUUGAUGCCCGUGGUUCAUUCUUUUAUUCUCUUGAUCUAUUAAUCAAAUAAUGCGGCAUGCUCUGCUGAGGGCUGCUGCCUCGUGAUAAUAACGAUAGUAUGCAUUACGGCAGGGUACUCUUCUUAUUCAGGUAUUGUUAGCUUUAAACUUUUUAUCUUGAUUCUUUUUUUUUUUUUUUGGUUAAACCACGAGAUAUCCUGGGUAGGGCCCCAACUGUGCGAGGCACCUUUAAGACUAUACCACAACCUAAACUAGAAAUCUCCGCUCGCACCGGGUGGCAGGUGCUCCCAACAAGUGCGACUUCCCUGCGACUCGAACUGAGAAGCAAAUCCAGUCAAGCCACUUAAGGGAACUCCAGUUGCCAGAGGAGCCAACACUUUGUUGGUUUUUUAUCUUGAUUCUUGAAAGUAGAAAAUCUCAACAAAGUUGGGGCGGCAAAUAAUUAAAAAGAGAAAAACUGGCCAAACGUGUAUAUAUACAAGUUAAAUGGACGUGGACAGACAAAGUACAUAGCGGAAUUAAGAAAGAAGAAGAUAUUUCUAGUCUAUGAAACACUUUAUUCUAUCCAAUUCUAAAUUAUGAGCACAUAAACAACUAAUCACUUUCACAUUUUUCUUUUCAAGGUCUUCCUACAAUUAAUACAUAUUGAAAAAUAUAUCUAAUAUUUGCAUUGAAAGUGCCGGGAGAAAAUAGCUGGGAAUUUCUAUAUAAGCCAGUGAACCUUCAAGCAGCCAAUAAGCCUGGAGGAGUCUUAAUUCCCACCUACUUAGUUGGCUUAGCUUAAAAAUGAGUUCAUCAAUAUGUUUGCUUCGUCGACGAAUAUGGGUUCAUUAAACAAACCCCAUGCUGUGUUUGCUCCACAUCCAGCAUAAGGUCAAUGCAAUUACCAAAACUAUUACAUUUCAGGGGCUUUUACAUAAUUUUGUAAACAACCACAUACGUUUAAUUCGCUCCAGAGGGCUAGCUUUUGUAAAAGGCUUACACGAUUUUUGGCUUGAAGCAAUACAUGAUGGGCUGCAACUUUCGGACGUUGAUGCCACACGUGAUUUGCGGGCUCUAUCAUAUUCGAUUCAAAAGAGCUGCCUGGGUGCUUGAAGAAAGCUAUUGGCUAAGCUGAAUAAUCCUCCACUUACAUGCAUUGUAUCUGAUGGGCUCACGACUUUUACCAUUAAAGCUGCGAAGGAGCUUCGCAUCCCAGAAGUUCAAUUCUAUGCUACCUCUGUUUUUGGUUUUAUGGCCCACUUGUCUUUCGGCGAACUCAUCCAAAAAGGCCUUGUUCCUUUCAAAGGUAACUUUCCUUCUGCAAUUAAGUCCGAAAUGAUAUUGAUAUAUUUUGUGUACAUCGACAUGCAGAUGAAAUGAAAACCCAUAUUAGAUGUCAUUUUACCAAAAUUGUCCAAUCCAAGAAAAAUACAUAUAAUUUCUAGAAGACCCAAAAGUAAUUUCUGAUUUAUUUUAUCCCGUAUGUCAUCAAGGAGAGUCUUAGGCGAACCCACGUGUACUUCUCAAGUAAAAAGCAGGUAAUAGAUCCACGUGGCAAGAAUUUAGUGGCAAAUAAAAAAUGUAGACGGUUAUAUAUCCGAGCCCCCAAGAAUUUUCCCCGCGUAUGCUGCUAAUAAAUGCGUUCCACACGAUGCAUCUCUAGAACUACGGUAUGUACGGACAUGUCUGCGAUGAAGACAUAUAAAGCCGUGUUUCAUCAGAUGAAAUACAAAAUUGCUUAAAAUCAUCCGCAAUCAUGCUCAUCACAUUUGAUGAGCUCGAUCAUGAAGUGUUAGACCAAAUUCCCUCGCAUUUACACAAUAGGCCCGCUACCCUUAUUGCUUGAAAGAGUUUCGCAUCUCUCAAGCCCUGGUCGGCUACUGACUUCGUUCAUUCAACAAUCAUUGAACGCCCUUUUGAGCUAACUGCAUCGGUUAUGCCGACAACGACAUAUUCUCUGGCAAAAGAAAUGACUUCUAAUGUCUGGAAUGGCUUGAUCAAAGGCAAAAGAAGUCGAUUGUGUUUGUUAGUUUCGACAGCAUAACUGUGAUGUCGGACCGACAGGUUAACGAAUUAGUGGGGUAUUGAAAAUAGCAAUCACCCAUUUUUGUUGGUAGUGAGGCCUGAUUUGGUGGCUGCAGGAAAUCCAGCAAUGUUACCGAGAGAAUAUUGCGAAGAGAUUAGGGAUAGAGGUUUCCUAGUUAGUUGGUCUCCUCAAGAACAAGUGCUCUGUCACCCUUCAGAUGUUGCAUUUCUAACUCAUAGCCGAUGGAAUUGGAAUUCGACCAUUGAAAGUGUAUGCCGAGGGGUUCCUGUAAUCUGUUAAGGCCUUUUUUCGAUGAGCAGUCGAGGGACUGGCAUGGAGAUUAAUCAGAAUGUAAAGCGUGAUGAAGUUAAAGUUCUUGUUAGAGGAAUGAUGGAAGGGGACAAGGGGAAGCCGAUCAAGUGUAUGGCUUUGGGAUGGAAGAAGAAAGCUGAAGCUGCUACUUACAUUGGGGAUCAUCUUACAAGAAUUUAAAUAGAUUCAUAAACGAUGUUUCAUAUGGCACCUCAAAAUAGUGCACAUAUUGUAUAUUCCAAACAAACAGAUGAAACAAAUUUAAUAUUUUGUUUUGGAGUGUUUAGAACCAGUAGUAUAGUUUUUGAGUGUUUAGAACCAGUGGUAUAACAAGAAGGUGUGUUUCUUGUAAUAGUUAAUUCAUGUCAUAGGUUUGACAACUACCCAGCGAUAACUACAUAUUAAGUGAACAAUAUGCAAAUGAUAAA
rnacentral:lncRNA from 1 species